rnacentral:rRNA from 1 species
CAUGGCUCAGGAUGAACGCUAGCUACAGGCUUAACACAUGCAAGUCGAGGGCGAGCGAGAAGGAAGCUUGCUUCUUGUCGGCGACCGGCGCACGGGUGAGUAACGCGUAUCCAACCUUCCCCUUAGUAGGGCAUAGCCCGGCGAAAGUCGGAUUAACACCCUAUGUUAUCCGAAGAGGACAUCUGAAUUGGAUUAAAGGUUUACCGCUAAGGGAUGGGGGAUGCGUCUGAUUAGGUAGUAGGCGGGGUAACGGCCCACCUAGCCGACGAUCAGUAGGGGUUCUGAGAGGAAGGUCCCCCACAUUGGAACUGAGACACGGUCCAAACUCCUACGGGAGGCAGCAGUGAGGAAUAUUGGUCAAUGGGCGAGAGCCUGAACCAGCCAAGUCGCGUGAAGGAUGAAGGUUCUAUGGAUUGUAAACUUCUUUUGUCCGAGGGUAAAAAAGGCCACGUGUGGCUUCUUGCAAGUAUCGGACGAAUAAGCAUCGGCUAACUCCGUGCCAGCCGCCGC